AUGGCAAUAUCAUAUUGAAACACUAGUUCCUGAAUGAUCUCUGAAGCUAAGCAAUAUCAAGCCUGGUCAGUAGCUGGAUGAGUGACCACUUGGAAAUAACAGGUGCUGUAAG